AGCGAACGCUGGCGGCAGGCCUAACACAUGCAAGUCGAACGAACUCUUCGGAGUUAGUGGCGGACGGGUGAGUAACACGUGGGAACGUGCCUUUAGGUUCGGAAUGACUCAGGGAAACUUGAGCUAAUACCGGAUGUGCCCUUCGGGGGAAAGAUUUAUCGCCUUUAGAGCGGCCCGCGUCUGAUUAGCUAGUUGGUGAGGUAAAGGCUCACCAAGGCGACGAUCAGUAGCUGGUCUGAGAGGAUGAUCAGCCACAUUGGGACUGAGACACGGCCCAAACUCCUACGGGAGGCAGCAGUGGGGAAUCUUGCGCAAUGGGCGAAAGCCUGACGCAGCCAUGCCGCGUGAAUGAUGAAGGUCUUAGGAUUGUAAAAUUCUUUCACCGGGGACGAUAAUGACGGUACCCGGAGAAGAAGCCCCGGCUAACUUCGUG
rnacentral:rRNA from 1 species